CGCGGAAGAACACGGUUAACUGACCCAGAAGAGCCAAUGAAACGUUUUUAGUCGAAUUUCAAACGAGUGAUUCACGAUGAAGGGGGAAUUUACUCACGACGUAUGAAACAGCCACAGGACGAUGCGUCACAUAAUGCAGUGUGAACUUUUCUCCUAUCUAUUUUUGGCAUUUUCGUGGAAUUUCAUUUAAUUCCUCGAUGCGCAAAACCUCUCAAGUCCACUCCCUGGCGAGAUCACCUCCAUAUCCACCCAAAUGCGAAUUUUCUUGAAUAAAGCCAUAUAUGGUAAUAUUGUGAAGGCGGACGUUGGGAUGAGAAUGGUUGGAAUCGUAGGUGUGGAGGGAAUGAAUAUCUGCCCUUCAAUGGAUUCUAAAUUCGCCUCGCCUUGCAGUGGAGGUCUCACCCAGCUGAUCUACUUCUGGAACGACAAUUCCAAAAGGCGUGGAACCCAAUGGACCGAAUGAUUGUGCGAUUAAUUUUAUUCGUUGAACAUUUUGUCUUCGUUCUGCUGAAAAAAUCGUAAAUUUAUAAUCGUACGCGAGUAGAAAAACUCACUUUAAAUAAUAUGAGACAUACGUCCUUUAUUAAUUAUUUGAUUUCAUAUUUUCUUUCAACAAUUCCUUUGAAAUUUUCAUCAUGAAAAUCUCAAAAUGUGGGUGACACCACAAUCUCUCAGUGGCCAUGAUAUUAUUUGUCACAAAGUGCUUAUCAGAAGCCCAAUAAAAUCGUUUUUAAUGAUUCAAAAGAAUGUAAAAUAGUUGGAUAUCGUAUGAGAAGACUUGGCCUCAAUCGUAAGCGUGACCUUGAUUCUCAACACGCAGUGAAAAGUUGUCUCGACUCAAUUAAAACCAAGUCACGAUGUCAAUGACUUUUGCUGCGAUUUAUUUCCCUUAUUGCGUUAUGCACAGCUUUAUCCAUCGAAUUUAAUACCAAAUGUAAUUUUCGUAUGGGAAAAGAAAAAAUUUGGACAGAUGAAACAGCCAUUGCAAUAAUGACUAAGUAAGCAUGACGAUUUGGAAUCGUUUGUGGAUACCUUCUGAGCAGACUUGAGCUUGGGGAAUGUGAGUCCGAAUAUAUUUUUCGCAUCCAUGAUUUUCAAGGUGGCAUGGUGACGAAUCGCACGAGAACUGGUCAGCCCUGGGCUGCUAUCAGUAUAACGGACUGGAAGACAGGUGGUAAAGGUUUUUUGAUUUCAGUUGCAGCUGGAAAUAGGGACACGAUUUUUAUAUUUUUGCGAUUAUUGCUGGAGAUAUUGCAUUCACCGAUGAUUAGGAUGGGAUGAAUAUUAUUGGAAGUAUACAAUUGGUGAAAACAUGGCGAGAACUAAUAGCAAAAGGCAAGUGUUAAUUCGAGACAUUUUCUCUCCAGAGAAAACGAUUAAUCUCUUAAAAAAAGCAUCGAUAAGGGAAGAAUUGAUAUUGUAAUAUCGACUAAUUGGGCUCACUUGAUUCCCCCGGAAAACUAUAUUAUUUUCUUCAGUUCAAAACUCAUAAAUGUAAACGACUGCGCUAGUAUUCUUGAGUUGUUGACAGUGGAAGUGAAUAUUAAAAAAGUGGCUAUUUCAUAUUCACUAGCAAAUUUAUUCAAUCUCCUCAAGUACUCCGCGCAGGCGCUCCCCUCAUUCCGAUAUUUUUCCCUUAUCGUCGCAUUUUCAUCAACUUUCUCAAUUUAAUUAGUUGAAGCUAGUAAAAAAAAUACUAUCAAUUUCAAUCGGUUGAAAUAUGUCGAUUUCCGCUGGUGAAAAACCCUAUAAAUGUAAAUGUCUAUAAUCUCAUUGAAUUUCAGGGAGUGUCUUGCUUCAGUAUUCUCAGGCCAUUCAGCAGCCCAAGUGAAUAAGAAAAAAUAUGAAUUCUCCCUAUCCAUCCACUAACCAUUUUAUUACUUCCCGCAGUACUGCGCAUAGACGGUUCCUUAGUUUAAAUAUGUUCUCUAAAAAAAAACUUUAAAGUAAUUUUUUAGCUAUUAUUCGCGUGCUGAGACCGUUCUUCUUCUUUUUUCUUACAUUAAAAAAUAUUUGUGGAGAAGUGAUUGAUGUGCAAUAUCGAUUGGAGCCUUUGACUACUUCACUUUUUUGAUUUUUUAUUUUUCUCAAAACAAAUCAAUGAAGAUAGCAAUUUCGUGGAAAGAUCGUAAGAUUUAUUUGGCGCUGAUAACACCUGUUUAUUCCUGUUUCUUCCAAAUAAAAAAAUCAUGUCCCAUGUUAACAUUAAAGUUAGAACAUUUAUGAUGGAAUAUAGGGCGGAGGAUCUGAAGGUCAACGUUUCACACGUCUAGCCAGUACAUCGUCCAUUGAACCUCGCACAUAGUUUCCUUUGCGGAUGCCUCAUAGUAUUGAUUGAAAUGAAAACCGGGGGUGGUACAUUACUUACGCUACGGGAGCAUGCCAGACACGCCCAUGUAAUUUUUUUACCUUCGUUUGUAAUUUUUCGUAGAGAGAAUUUCUCAUCACCAUAAUUUUUUUAAUUUCGCUGAUAUCGAUUAAAUAGCGACCGGGGAGCAUUGGAACAAACGGUGCCGGUGACUAAUUCAACAUUUGACAUUGUGCGGAGUGCGUGUAAUCGGUGGAUCGUUAUGCCGAUGGAAGAACGGGGCCUUAUGCAAGGCCGGGGAUUCGAUGGGGUACGGUCCCUUAUUCGGUUUGCUCAAGGUCGAGGCUUUAUAAAUAAAACGUAUAGUACACGGGCCAUCGGGUUUGCGGGACAGGUUCAUUAGGUCUGCGUUCUUACGUGACGGAUACCUAGAUUAUGCAGUCCGAUUUUUUUUGUACUUUCAUUGACUUUUCAUUCGAUUAUAUUUUUUCGCGAUAUUCUGUAUCCUCGCGUCACGAAAUUUCCUGUAUUUUUGGAUGGAUCCUCUUGUUGAAUGAAUUGAUAAAUAGAAAAAAAUCAUUUUUGUAAUUGAUAUGAUGAUUGUUUAUUCUGCGAUAAAAAUUGGAAGCAAAUUAACGCUCAGGGGUUUUUAUGCCAGGAUAACUAAACAUAAUUAGUGUCUUUUGAGCGGUUAGAUUGAUGCCUUAAAAAAAGAGAACGAAACUGAGGAAGCAAAUAAAUAACUGGAUUACCGCCACUACUUUCAACUCCUGUAUGAUUUUCCAAAAUAAUAUAUGCCUUCUCAUCCCAGUACCGUUUAACGAAAUCUCUCGUUCCAGAAAUACUCCGGUAUAAUAAGACCCCAAUUAAUUAAUAGAAAUCGCGUUGUUAAUCUGCUGUAUAAUUAAUUUUAAAAAACUCAUAAAUGGUAAAAGCUGAUCAGACGCAUACGAUUAGAGCCUCAAUACAAGGCAAAUGAUACGCUUGAUGGUGGUGAAUGGUUUCUGGAAUUCUCUUCGAAGUUCGGUUAUAGGUUGUCUCUACGAUGUUUCAGCUCACCCGGAGUUCGAAUCGAUUCGCCAAGUUCAAUGUCGUGUAGGUCGCAGGUUGAAUGAACCCGGUCCAGGCGAGCCCAGGGAGACCGCAGUGUCGGAUCAUAAGAGUCUCGGUGCAGGCGUGGCUACGCCCCAAAUAACAGACGAAAAGGAAAAGACGAGAGGAAAUAUCGAAACUGAGGGAGCGUCUGCGCGAUACCCCAGGAAACAAUCAAAUUCUUCCUGAAUAAAUUAUAUGGAAAAUUAA